rnacentral:rRNA from 1 species
GCACAAGCGGUGGAUCAUGUUGUUUAAUUUCGAUGAUACGCGAAGAACCUUACCAGGUCUUGACAUCCCCCGCGAUGCUUUAGAGAUAAAGCGGAGGUAUUCGGGGAGACAGGUGGUGCAUGGUUGUCGUCAGCUCGUGUCGUGAGAUGUUGGGUUAAGUCCCGCAACGAGCGCAACCCUAUUGCUAGUUACCAUCAUUAAGUUGGGGACUCUAGCGAGACUGCCAGUGAUAAACUGGAGGAAGGUGGGGAUGACGUCAAAUCAUCAUGCCCCUUAUGACCUGGGCUACAAACGUGAUACAAUGGCUGGAACAAAGGGAUGCGAAGCAGUGAUGUGGAGCGAAACCCAAUAAAAACAGUCUCAGUUCGGAUUGAAGUCUGCAACUCGACUUCAUGAAGUCGGAAUCGCUAGUAAUCGCGGAUCAGAACGCCGCGGUGAAUACGUUCUCGGGGUUU